GCUUUAAAUGGUGAAGGUAUUGAUAAGUUGCUUGAAGCAAUUUUAUUGACCGCCGAUGCAGCAAUUGAUCUGCGUGCAAUUGCAGAUGAUGUU
rnacentral:tRNA from 1 species